rnacentral:misc_RNA from 1 species
UGAACUGUCCUUUUUCGAACCGCCAUUUAAACCGUUUUAAACUGUGACUCGAACCGAAACCGUAGGUUCAGGAACUGUAGGUUCAAGAACCGUCUUCCAAACUGUCUCCUAGCAGUUUGAUUCAGGUUCAUAAUUUUAUUGAACCUAAAUCGACGGUUCAGGAUUCGUAACCGGCGGUUCCUGAACCAUGACCACCCCAAGUAAAAGGAUGAUUAAGAAACAAUAAUUUUAUAACAAAAAAUCAUAUUUUUUCAAGAAUAAUCUUUUCAAAUGAGGAGAUAAAUUAUUAUAUAUAUAAUGAAACCAUAGCAAAAAAUGAUUCACAUAAAGGGUUGGAGAAUUUGAUUAACUUUUUUUAUCUAAAUAACUCGA